GAUGAACGCUGGCGGCGUGCUUAACACAUGCAAGUCGAACGGAAAGGCCCUGCUUUUGGGGGGUGCUCGAGUGGCGAACGGGUGAGUAACACGUGAGUAACUUGCCCUUGACUUUGGGAUAACUUUAGGAAACUGGGGCUAAUACCGGAUAGGAGCUCUCGCUCCAUUGUGGGGGUUGGACAGAUUCGGCGUUUUGGGAUGGGCUCGCUGCUUAUCAGCGUGUUGGUGUGGUAGUGGAUUACCAAGGCUUUGACGAGUUGCCUGCCUGAGAGGGUGACCGGCAACAUGACGACAGAGCUACGGCCCGGACUACUACGGGAGGCAGCAGUGGGGAAUAAUGCACGAUCGACGGAAGCCUGAUGCAGCAACGCCGCGUGAGGGAUGACGACCUUCGGGUUGUAAACCGCUUUCGCCUGUGACGAAGCGUGGGUGACGGUAAUGGGUAAAGAAGCACCGGCUAACUACGUG
rnacentral:rRNA from 1 species